UACUUGGUGGCCGAUCGGAUCCCAAUUUUUUCGAAACUGAUGAUUGGUGGUCACAAUAAUUGUGAAGCACCCUGAAAUCUUGGGUGAAACGACUAGCUCCAUAACCAGCCCUCCGUUCUACUGAUGCCAUUACUUCUUGAUCUCUAAUUGAUUGCCUAUGUUAAGAGGCAACAUUUGAUGGAGCUGGCAUCUGCUUGCCUUGCGUAAUAUCUGAACAUAAAUUCCUUGUUCAUAGACAGAAACAUAACAUGACUUUUUUGUAAGAGAAUCUUAAUAUGGACACAUGUACAAAUGAAUCUUCUACUACUCACACAUCAUUAUCCAAUGCUCCUUUCUCACGUCUCUCUUUAUAGAUUGAUAGAUAAAAUAAGUGAGUUCAGUUAAUAUUAAAAUAAUGUAAUGUGAAAACGUGUAACAAGGAAAUUG